rnacentral:tRNA from 1 species
GGCCCCAUGGUCUAGCCUGGUCUAUGACGCUUGGUUCUCAGCCAAGAAACACCGGUUCAAAUCCGGUUGGGGCUACCA